GCUGCGGUAGCUCAGUGGUAGAGCACUCCCUUGGAAAGGGAGAGGUCGAGGCUACCAUGCCCCGCG
rnacentral:tRNA from 1 species